rfam:Cavia porcellus supercont2_13 genomic scaffold, whole genome shotgun sequence.
GGGGAUUUAGCUCAGUGGCAUAAGCACCUGCCUUGCAAGCAGGAAGUCGUGAGUUCAAUCCCUG